AUGAUGAGACUUAUCGGACCUUAUGGUAAGUCAUCUAGAGCAGAUUUUGACUUCUUUUCUAACCGCCAAAAACAACCACGAUUUUUUCCGUCAUCCAUGGCUUCAAGGAGAAGUUCUGGGAGAUGGAUUCGUGUGAUCUCAGAAUUCGCGGUUGUUCCGUCUGGUGUUUUUGGCAAACACCCUGGCGGAAUGAGUGUAGCCUGUGCCGGCGUCAUCGCCGAUGGAAUAAAUCAUCAAUGA